rnacentral:lncRNA from 1 species
GAUCAGCACUGCAGAGCCAGGGAUGAACCACCCCCAUCCAUGCCUGGCCAGCACCAGGUGUGAGCCUCAGCAGGCAGGUGGAAAUGUGGGAUAUGUAUGGACGGCAGAGGCAGUGCAUACAGCAGGCUGUGUGACAGCGGUGGUUCUCCUCCCAGGGGACACGGGCAGCAGAACUGCUGGACUGCAGCUUACAGAUGGAUUCCUUCUUGGGAGCAAAGUACUCAUAAAGUGACUUUUCUUUAAACCUCAGAUGGUUUUAUUUGCUCUGCUGAAAUGAAGCAAGGGAGAAAAGAUGUCUUAGAGCAAGCAUUUAAAUGAAUGUCAGCUGGAAGAAAUACACACAGAGUGCAAUUUGAGAUAAAACUACCAUUGAUCCCUUCAUGUACAGCCUUUGUGGCAGUGGUUGACGUGACUAUUGAAAAGGGACUGUGGUGCCAGAGUUCUUCUAAGAGAUAAUCCGUCUUCUGAGAGAAGAUUUAGGUU